GGAUUAGAUACCCUGGUAGUCCACGCCGUAAACGAUGUCUACUAGUUGUCGGUUGUCUUGUACGACGGGUAACGCAGCUAACGCGAUAAGUAGACCGCCUGGGGAGUACGGUCGCAAGAUUAAAACUCAAAUGAAUUGACGGGGGCCCGCACAAGCGGUGGAGCAUGUGGUUUAAUUCGAAGCAACGCGAAGAACCUUACCUACUCUUGACAUCCAGAGAACUUUCCAGAGAUGGAUUGGUGCCUUCGGGAACUCUGAGACAGGUGCUGCAUGGCUGUCGUCAGCUCGUGCCG
rnacentral:rRNA from 1 species